rnacentral:rRNA from 1 species
CCUACGGGUGGCAGCAGUGAGGAAUAUUGGUCAAUGGACGAGAGUCUGAACCAGCCAAGUAGCGUGAAGGAUGACUGCCCUAUGGGUUGUAAACUUCUUUUAUAUGGGAAUAAAACGUUCCACGUGUGGGAUUUUGUAUGUACCAUAUGAAUAAGGAUCGGCUAACUCCGUGCCAGCAGCCGCGGUAAUACGGAGGAUCCGAGCGUUAUCCGGAUUUAUUGGGUUUAAAGGGAGCGUAGGUGGGUUGUUAAGUCAGUUGUGAAAGUUUGCGGCUCAACCGUAAAAUUGCAGUUGAAACUGGCAGUCUUGAGUACAGUAGAGGUGGGCGGAAUUCGUGGUGUAGCGGUGAAAUGCUUAGAUAUCACGAAGAACCCCGAUUGCGAAGGCAGUUCACUGAACUGCAACUGACACUGAGGCUCGAAAGUGUGGGUAUCAAACAGGAUUAGAUACCCGAGUAGUC